rnacentral:rRNA from 1 species
AGCGAACGCUGGCGGCAGGCCUAACACAUGCAAGUCGAACGAAGUCUUCGGACUUAGUGGCGGACGGGUGAGUAACACGUGGGAACGUACCUUUUGGUUCGGAACAACUCAGGGAAACUUGAGCUAAUACCGGAUGAGCCCUUAGGGGGAAAGAUUUAUCGCCGAAAGAGCGGCCCGCGUUAGAUUCGCUAGUUGGUGAGGUAAAGGCUCACCAAGGCUACGGUCUAUAGCUGGUCUGAGAGGAUGAUCAGCCAAACUGGGACUGAGACACGGCCCAGACUCCUACGGGAGGCAGCAGUGGGGAAUCUUGCGCAAUGGGCGAAAGCCUGACGCAGCCAUGCCGCGUGAAUGAUGAAGGUCUUAGGAUUGUAAAAUUCUUUUACCAGGGACGAUAAUGACGGUACCUGGAGAAAAAGCCCCGGCUAACUUCGUGCCUGCCGCCGCAGUAAAAC